AAUAGCAGAGCUGUCUAACACGCCAUUGUCUUAUGCGUCAUCUCCUUUUUGCUUUCCUUUUCUCUUUCUUCAGCUUUCCCAUUCUAUCGUCUUCCUCUCACUUUUCCUUUCUCUUGCUCGGCUCUUUCUCUUUAUACUUACUCUAUCGCUCCUUUCCUCUCCAAGGUUCUUCAAAAAUCUAGGUUCUACUUACAAAGUGUGCUUUUGCUUCUGCCGUCGAUUCCAUUUCCGAUCGCGGUGUAAUGGGUAUCGAUCAGCUGCAGUGCUUCCUN
rnacentral:lncRNA from 1 species